UACGUAGGUGGCAAGCGUUGUUCGGAAUUACUGGGCGUAAAGGGCGCGUAGGCGGAUGAUCUAGUCAGAGGUGAAAGCCCUGGGCUCAACCCGGGAAUUGCCUUUGAAACUGGUCGUCUUGAGUGCGAGAGAGGGUGGCGGAAUACCCAGUGUAGAGGUGAAAUUCGUAGAUAUUGGGUAGAACACCAGUGGCGAAGGCGGCCACCUGGCUCGCAACUGACGCUGAGGCGCGAAAGCGUGGGGAGCAAACAGG
rnacentral:rRNA from 1 species